rfam:Atta colombica isolate Treedump-2 unplaced genomic scaffold scaffold140, whole genome shotgun sequence.
GUACUCUGGUUUCCCUUCAAAUCACGCAUAAAUCUUUCGCCUUUUACUAAAGAUUUCCGUGGAGGGGAACAGUUGAUGAGUCUAUAGACCAAUUUUUUGUGUACCCAACGAAAGUUGGGUC